UACGUAGGGCGCGAGCGUUGUCCGGAAUUAUUGGGCGUAAAGAGCUCGUAGGCGGCCUGUUGCGUCCGCUGUGAAAUCCCGGGGCUCAACCCUGGGCGUGCAGUGGGUACGGGCAGACUAGAGUGCGGUAGGGGAGACUGGAAUUCCUGGUGUAGCGGUGAAAUGCGCAGAUAUCAGGAGGAACACCGGUGGCGAAGGCGGGUCUCUGGGCCGUAACUGACGCUGAGGAGCGAAAGCAUGGGUAGCGAACAGG
rnacentral:rRNA from 1 species